AUUGAACGCUGGCGGCAUGCUUUACACAUGCAAGUCGAACGGCAGCGCGGGGCAACCUGGCGGCGAGUGGCGAACGGGUGAGUAAUAUAUCGGAACGUACCCAGAAGUGGGGGAUAACGUAGCGAAAGUUACGCUAAUACCGCAUACGAUCUACGGAUGAAAGUGGGGUACUUUCGGGCCUCAUCCUGGUGGUGCGGCCGAUUUCUGAUUAGCAAGUGGGUAGGGUAAAGGCUAACCAAGGCGACGACCAGUAGCUGGUCUGAGAGGACGACCGGCCACACUGGGACUGAGACACGGCCAAGACUCCUACGGGAGGCAGCAGUGGGGAAUUUUGGACAAUGGGCGCAAGCCUGAUCCAGCAAUGCCGCGUGAGAGAAGAAGGCCUUCGGGUUGUAAAGCUCUUUUGUCAGGGAAGAAACGGUGCGGACUAAUAUUCUGCGCUAAUGACGGUACCUGAAGAAUAAGCACCGGCUAACUACGUGCCAGCAGCCGCCGUAA
rnacentral:rRNA from 1 species